UACAGAGGUCUCAAGCGUUGUUUCGGAUUCAUUGGGCGUAAAGGGGUGCGUAGGCGGCGCGGUAAGUCGGGUGUGAAAUUUCGAGGCUUAACUUCGAAACUGCAUUCGAUACUGCCGUGCUAGAGGACUGGAGAGGAGACUGGAAUUUACGGUGUAGCGGUGAAAUGCGUAGAUAUCGUAAGGAAGACCAGUGGCGGAAGG
rnacentral:rRNA from 1 species